CUUUAUCCAGGUCUUCCUAUACAUCCUGCAGAAUGGGCUCCCCCAGACCACAUCGCAGAAUUUCCUCAUUAUUACUUUGCCGCUCUUUGGACAAGGAGGUCCGGGCAAAACUCCUGAAUGAAUGCCCCCGUCCGACACUGCAGGAUAAGGUGGCCCUUACCCCUGAUUUUGACCUGGUGUUCACCACCUUCAUGACGAGAUCUGGGAAGGAUCCUCACAAAGGCCUGGAUCAGGGCCUACGCUCAGCCCAGGAUACACUGCUCGAUUUCAGUGGGCCAUUGGCACAAAUUUUCCUUACGGCGGAUGAUGCCCUACACGGCUGAGCUCUGGUUGCCGUCCAUCUCCUUCAGGAGUGGGCUCAAAGGGCUAGUUGUCUCCUGGGCAAUGCCAAUGUGGUCCUCCACUCAGAUCGAUCGUUUGUCUGGACAAUAUUUCAUUGAUGGCGUCGCCAGACAUCGUUCACAACCCUUCUUCUCGAGGACCUGGGGUUCAUCAUAAAUGUGGAGAAAUCAGAACUGCCUCCCUCUGGAUCAGUCCAGUUUCUGGGUUUUGUGGUGGAUUUGGUUCAGGCGGUGCUCUGCCUUCCCGAAGUAUCUGCUAUCACUAAGAAUAUCAGACGCCUGCUACGCAACCCACAGGCCACGUUGAGAGAUCUGGCGCAGACGAUAGGACUGCUGUCAUCCUCCAUUCAGGUCAUAUUCCUGGGACCCCUACAAUAUCGGGCUCUCCAAUGCCUGAAGGUGCACCCAGGUCAUCGGUCUCAUACGACCGAAUCGUGUGUCUUUUGGAGUCCAGUCUGGAACUCCAUUGGUGGCUUGGACACAAGGAGGCCUGGAACGGCAAGGCGAUAUUCGGAUCCUGGCCAGACUUCGUCCUGGAAUCAAAUGCCACUUGUCUAGGCUGGGGUGCUGCUUGCGAUGGCAUGGCGACAAUAGCACAUUGGACUCCGGAGGAGAAGACCCUUCACAUCAGCUGUCUGGAACUGAUUGAGGGGUCGUUCACCAUUCGAAGAUUCACCGAAGGGAUGAGUCAUGGCUCGCUGCUUCUAGGCAGCUGUCUGUUACAUAAACCGGUUGGUAGGUUCCGUUCCAAACUUCUUUCGGAUCUAACAAAGGAUCUCUACCAGUAUUGUCUGGACAAGAACUUAUCGCUUGUAGCGGAAUACAAUCUAGUUG
rnacentral:lncRNA from 1 species